CGCGGCGGGAGGGUGGGAGGGCGGGCGCGGUGCGGCGGGACCUUCCCCUCGGCGCCGGGCACCAUGAUGGUGGGCAGGACCAGCGCCAUCGCGGCGGGUCUUUGCGGGGCCCUUUUCAUCGGUUACUGCAUCUACUUCGACCGCAAGAGACGGAGCGACCCGAAUUUCAAGAACCGGCUGCGGGAGCGAAGGAAGAAACAGAAGCUUGCCAAAGAGAAAGCAGGACUUUCCAAGUUGCCUGAUUUGAAAGAUGCUGAAGCAGUUCAGAAGUUUUUCCUCGAGGAGAUUCAGCUUGGGGAGGAACUACUAGCUCAAGGUGAAUAUGAGAAAGGUGUUGAUCACUUGACCAAUGCCAUUGCUGUGUGUGGACAGCCGCAGCAGCUACUACAAGUUCUACAGCAGACUCUACCACCUCCAGUGUUUCAAAUGCUUCUAACUAAGCUCCCUACAAUAAGCCAGAGAUGUGUGUGGCACUCUGAAGAAUCUGUCCAGAUGAAGCCUCUGCUUCUGCAAGCUCACAGCCUGCGGUCCUGAUCCUGUAAUUUACCCUGCAUGGUCCUUUCCUCAUGGAAACCUAAGCAGUCAAGAGCAGGACAUUGGGACACAGGAAGGGAGAAGAAAAGAGCUGCAGAAGGAAAAGGCAAGCACUGGCAUACUUAAACAGGGAAAAGAAAAACUGGAUUCACAGUGGUGACUUUGACUCCAUCUGGCAAAGGCAAACUUAUCUCCUAAAUGAGAAAGGCACAGCCACGAAGAGGAAAAACAAAUGGGUCACAGAGAGAACCAGCCUGUUCCUUCUGACCGAGUAGUUGCAAGUGACAAAGUCUCACUGGUACUUGUUUAGAAGAUCCCUCCAUUUUAGGAGUUGCUCUGUCACAAGGAUACCAAAGGGCUUUCGGGUACAUGAGAUCUGCGUACAGAGUUUCAUAAUGGAUUUUAUAAAGUUUGCUGCACUUUACCCCACUUUGCUCAGUAAAUAUUUUGCUUCUAAAUCA